CUUACUCACAACCUCCACAUACAUAUUGUUAAAUGAAUCGUGUGUAAUUUCAGAUGCUUUUAUACAUGUCGACAAUCACCCAAGGGUCAAAGGCAAAGACAGGAUCAUGAUCUCCAACACGCAAGAGACAGCAGGAACUCAUGAGGAGCGUGUGGACACAUCACCCUGCUUAUUCUCCUGAAUGCAUUCAUGGCUAGUUCAAGAAACAAGAGAGUUCAGGUCAAGCAAAAGCAAGUGGUUCAGCAAGGCAAAGCAUACUUGAGUCUAUGGAGAGGAAAAGAAAGGCAGAUGAGAUUAGUGCAUGUCAGGAUGAAGUCAUCACAAGGUCCUGGGCUUGUUUGUGGCGAUGGACACGAUUUCUUUCAGCGGUCAUGAAGAGGUCAAGAGUUAGAGCACUUAUGUGAACAGUUGUUUCAAAGUCCUUAGAAUGAGACCCUUACUAAACUUGCAAGUUUGAGCUACAAAUCUAAUUUCAUGAAUAUGAAUUUGUGUUUUAACUACUCUACAAGCAUGGCAGCACACCCACACAGUUCAUUUAACAUACCAAUAUGUUAAAUUAAAUCUGUAUGUGUACAUUUUUACCUGAGUGUCCAUGUGGUAAAAAUGUCCAACAGUCAAACAAACUCUUAGUGGGACACUGACUUGAGAGCGUCUGUUUGUCACCACUCAUCACCAUCUCUAAGGCUAUGCUGAAAGCCUUCCACCCAAAAUCAGCUUUGAGCCUAAUUUGCGGAAAAGCACUGAAGAUUUGGUGGAUGCAGCAGUCAAGGCUUGGAGUGUGGUCCAGGGGUUUAACUACUCCUAGAAGAAAAGGAAGCAACGAUGUAAGCAGAAACCAAAUUCCCCUCAACAUCCAGUCCAAGAUGUUCUGCUUGACGAGAUUUCCAAAGAUUGUCACAUCAGUGUCUUGUGUAUUGAAGGAUUUGUUUAAUUUUCAACAUAGUAAAAGCAUGCUGACUAUAUGUAGAAUUAAGGUGGGGAAACACUGCAUAUAAUGACCAAAACCUGUUUACAAGAAUAAGUCACUGUAUAUUAGUGCAAUAUUUAUAACUACAUAUAUUUAGCUAUUAUCCUAUCCUAACCCUCAAAGUUAGGGUAGGAUAAAACAAACCCCAACAUCUUGCUGAAGUCAACCUCAGCCAUGGUAUGUUUUUGUGAUCUGUCCAAACCUUGUCAGACUCCCAAUCUAGAAAUCCCACAAGCUCUCCGAAUGCGGUAACACAGAAGUGUAGAGCAUGUGGAUUCACCCAGGCACGCAGCAUCUACUCUAUAAGGAUGUCUUAAGGAAGCAACCUCAAUCAGCAGCAAAUGCCAAAGUUUUAGGAAUAAAUUUUGUUCAAUUUAUUAGACUUCACCAAAACGCUUGAGAACAAAUUGGCUACAACCUUUGACUGGCUUAGGAUUUGUACCCCUGUGGCAAGGAGGCAACAUUUCAUGAGUAAAAAACAUUUUUUGCAUCUAUUCAUGUU